GCCCUUAUAGCUCAAUGGAUAGAGCGUCUCCGUCCUAAGGAGAAAAUGGGGGUUCGAAUCCCUCUAAGGGCA
rnacentral:tRNA from 1 species